GAUGAACGCUGGCGGCGUGCCUAAUACAUGCAAGUAGAACGCUGAAGGAGGAGCUUGCUCUUCUGGAUGAGUUGCGAACGGGUGAGUAACGCGUAGGUAACCUGCCUGGUAGCGGGGGAUAACUAUUGGAAACGAUAGCUAAUACCGCAUGACAACAGUUAUUGCAUGAUAACUGUUUAAAAGGGGCAACUGCUCCACUACCAGAUGGACCUGCGUUGUAUUAGCUAGUUGGUGAGGUAACGGCUCACCAAGGCGACGAUACAUAGCCGACCUGAGAGGGUGAUCGGCCACACUGGGACUGAGACACGGCCCAGACUCCUACGGGAGGCAGCAGGAGGGAAUCUUCGGCAAUGGACGGAAGUCUGACCGAGCAACGCCGCGGGAGUGAAGAAGGUUUUCGGAUCGUAAAGCUCUGUUGUAAGAGAAGAACGAGUGUGAGAGUGGAAAGUUCACACUGUGACGGUAUCUUACCAGAAAGAGACGGCUAACUACGUG
rnacentral:rRNA from 1 species